UGAUUCCCGUGGUCUCCGUCCAACUGAUCAAAAAGCACAAAACAGCCCGGUUGUUGCCAAAUGGACUCGCGAUCACCACCAACGCCAGCCGAAAAUACAUCUUUGUGUCCCUCAUUUCCAGAGACAGCGUAUACGAUGUCUUGCGACGUGUCUGUACCCACUUACAGGUCUCCAGCAAAAAAAGUCUGAGCUUGAAAGAAUUCACCGAAGAGCCAGUUGCUGUAGCCUUGGAGGUCAUCGUCCCAGAGGUGAAGUGGAGAAGGAGGUCCACGGCGUCCCUUUCGCUCACUCUCCCGGAGGCCAGCUUCCAGUGCAUCCAUCGAACUUCGAUCAGCAAUCUCAGUGCUAAGGAGACGUCUUGCACCUUGGAGGAACCCCUGG